UGGGAAUUUUGCGCAAUGGGGGAAACCCUGACGCAGCAACGCCGCGUGAGUGAUGAAGGCCUUCGGGUCGUAAAGCUCUGUCAGAGGGGAAGAAAUGCAGGGGUGCUAAUAUCAUCUUUGCUUGACGGUACCCUCAAAGGAAGCACCGGCUAACUCCGUGCCAGCAGCCGCGGUAAUACGGAGGGUGCGAGCGUUGUUCGGAAUUAUUGGGCGUAAAGCGCGUGUAGGCGGUUUGGUAAGUCUGAUGUGAAAGCCCCGGGCUCAACCUGGGAAGUGCAUUGGAAACUGUCAGACUUGAAUACGGGAGAGGGUAGUGGAAUUCCUAGUGUAGGAGUGAAAUCCGUAGAUAUUAGGAGGAACACCGGUGGCGAAGGCGGCUACCUGGACCGAUAUUGACGCUGAGACGCGAAAGCGUGGGAGCAAACAG
rnacentral:rRNA from 1 species